CAGUAGCCACGGGAAUACGUAGGUGGCAAGCGUUGUCCGGAAUUAUUGGGCGUAAAGGGCUCGCAGGCGGUUUCUUAAGUCUGAUGUGAAAGCCCCCGGCUCAACCGGGGAGGGUCAUUGGAAACUGGGAAACUUGAGUGCAGAAGAGGAGAGUGGAAUUCCACGUGUAGCGGUGAAAUGCGUAGAGAUGUGGAGGAACACCAGUGGCGAAGGCGACUCUCUGGUCUGUAACUGACGCUGAGGAGCGAAAGCGUGGGGAGCGAACAGGAUUAGAUACCCGGGUAGUCCCUGUCUCUUAUAC
rnacentral:rRNA from 1 species